CCUACGGGAGGCAGCAGUAGGGAAUAUUGGGCAAUGGACGCAAGUCUGACCCAGCCAUGCCGCGUGCAGGAUGAAGGCCUUCUGGGUUGUAAACUGCUUUUACCAGGGAAGAAAAAACUCUUGCGAGCGGAACUGACGGUACCUGGUGAAUAAGCACCGGCUAACUCCGUGCCAGCAGCCGCGGUAAUACGGAGGGUGCAAGCGUUGUCCGGAUUUAUUGGGUUUAAAGGGUGCGUAGGCGGCCUGUUAAGUCCGUGGUGAAAGCCAACAGCUCAACUGUUGAACUGCCAUGGAUACUGACAGGCUUGAGUACAGACGAGGUUGGCGGAAUUGAUGCUGUAGCGGUGAAAUGCAUAGAUAGCAUCAAGAACACCGAUUGCGUAGGCAGCUAACUAGGCUGUAACUGACGCUGAGGCACGAAAGCGUGGGGAGCGAACAGGAUUAGAUACCCUGGUAGUCCACGCUGUAAACGAUGAUUACUCGAUGUUGGCGAUAAACUGUCAGCGUCUUAGCGAAAGCGUUAAGUAUCCACCUGGGAGUGCCGAAAGGGGG
rnacentral:rRNA from 1 species